AGUGAACGCUGGCGGUAGGCCUAACACAUGCAAGUCGAACGGCAGCACAGUAAGAGCUUGCUCUUACGGGUGCCGGGUGGCGGACGGGGGAGGAAUCCACCGGAACCUACUUUUUCGUGGGGGAUAACGUAGGGAAACUUCCGCUAAUCCCCAAUACAACUUACGGGUGAAACCAGGGGACCUCCGGACUUUGCGGGAUGGAAUAAGCCGAUGUCGGAUUAGCUAGUUGGCGGGGUAAAGGCCCACCAAGGCGACGAUCCGUAGCUGGUCUGAGAGGAUGAUCAGCCACACUGGAACUGAGACACGGUCCAGACUCCUACGGGAGGCAGCAGUGGGGAAUAUUGGACAAUGGGCGCAAGCCUGAUCCAGCCAUACCGCGUGGGUGAAGAAGGCCUUCGGGUUGUAAAGCCCUUUUGUUGGGAAAGAAAAGCAGCAGGUUAAUACCCCGCUGUUCUGACGGUACCCAAAGAAUAAGCACCGGCUAACUUCGUG
rnacentral:rRNA from 1 species